rnacentral:lncRNA from 1 species
GCGUGCGUGCGUGCGUGCGUGCGUGCGUGCGUGCGUGCGUGCGUGCGUGCGUGCGUGCGUGCGUGCGUGCGUGCGUGCGUGCGUGCGUGCGUGCGUGCGUGCGUGCGUGCGUGCGUGCGUGCGUGCGUGCGUGCGUGCGUGCGUGCGUGCGUGCGUGCGUGCGUGCGUGCGUGCGUGCGUGCGUGCGUGCGUGCGUGCGUGCGUGCGUGCGUGCGUGCGUGCGUGCGUGCGUGCGUGCGUGCGUGCGUGCGUGCGUGCGUGCGUGCGUGCGUGCGUGCGUGCGUGCGUGCGUGCGUGCGUGCGUGCGUGCGUGCGUGCGUGCGUGCGUGCGUGCGUGCGUGCGUGCGUGCGUGCG